rnacentral:rRNA from 1 species
UGGGGAAUAUUGGACAAUGGGCGCAAGCCUGACCCAGCCAUGCCGCGUGAGUGAUGAAGGCCCUAGGGUUGUAAAGCUCUUUCACCGGUGAAGAUAAUGACGGUAACCGGAGAAGAAGCCCCGGCUAACUUCGUGCCAGCAGCCGCGGUAAUACGAAGGGGGCUAGCGUUGUUCGGAUUUACUGGGCGUAAGGCGCACGUAGGCGGACUUUUAAGUCAGGGGUGAAAUCCCGGGGCUCAACCCCGGAACUGCCUUUGAUACUGGAAGUCUUGAGUAUGGUAGAGGUGAGUGGAAUUCCGAGUGUAGAGGUGAAAUUCGUAGAUAUUCGGAGGAACACCAGUGGCGAAGGCGGCUCACUGGACCAUUACUGACGCUGAGGUGCGAAAAGCGUGGGGAGCAAAACAGGAUUAGAUACCCUGGUAGUCCACGCCGUAAAACGAUGAAUGUUAGCCGUUGGGGGAGUUUAACUCUUUCGGUGGGCGCAGCUAACGCAUUAAAACAUUCCGCCUGGGGAGUAACGGUCGCAAGA